rnacentral:tRNA from 1 species
CGGCACGUAGCGCAGCCCUGGUAGCGCACCGUCAUGGGGGUGUCGGGGGGUCGGAGGUUCAAAUCCUCUCGUGCCGACCA